rnacentral:tRNA from 1 species
GGAGAGGUGCCGGAGUGGACGAACGGGGCGCUCUCGAAAAGCGUUGUGGCUAAACGGUCACCGUGGGUUCGAAUCCCACCCUCUCCG